GGUGGUAUUCAACCCAGACAGUGUAGUUCUGAACUCCAUGAUCUUCACCACCCUCAUCUCCAAGGUCUUUGGAGGCAUUCACAUUUGAGAACAUUGAGCCCACUUUAGAAGACAUGAGGCAAUAGGCAUAUAGAUAUUAUGUAUAUGACUCAUGUCACAAUUCCAAAUAAUAACAUAGACAACAUGCUCUGGGACCCAGAACCUACCAUGGUCUAUAGGCUCUUCAGGCAUCCCACUUUGUUGGGCUUGGGAUAGAACUCUUCUGUUUGUACUGAGGGAGGCUAAAGCUUUCACUUGAACUCUGCAGAAAAUUGCUGCUACUGCUGGAUGUGAAGCCACCAUAUCUGCUGUCAUGAUUCACUGUUUGCACCAGAAGACAGAGGAUGAGCUCUUGGAGACAAGCCAGAAAAUGGAAGUGCUUCAGAGGACAAGGUCAACCUUUGCAAGAUAGGGAUAAAAUUCUGGACCAAUUUUGCUUGGAAUGGUUGAGGCUGAUGGCAGAAAUGAAGCAGCAGUGGUGGGUACCAUGAGGUGUGGCAUACCUACUAAGAAAGAGUGGCUUCUACUAUUUGACUGUUCAAGACUAAUGAUCCUGUGACAAUAGCAUUGUGACAAUAAACACAAGGCUCUCCCAGGAGAUGGAGAGCUUCACAUAUCAUAAGGAACUCCCAUGGAGAGGGCCUGGCCCCCUGGCCAGAGUACAACCAGAAAGAGGAAGGAUACUUGCAGAUUGCCACCAUCCAGGCCGAGAAGCUGAAAGAAAACAGAGUGACUUCUUUUUUUUUUCCCAUUACAUUUAUUGGUACAUUUUUGGUAUAAAAUACAGUUACAUUCAUCAUUGGGAUCUUGUACCUUUACAUGAGUAUCUUGGUUCUUAUUUUUUUCCCCUUCCCUUGCCCUCCCUUCAGCCCCCUCCAUGCUUCGCUAUUUGCAAAGACCUUGUUUCCAUUUUUUUUCCUCUUCUCAUAUUUUUUCCUUUCCCUUUUUUCCCUUCCCCUACC
rnacentral:lncRNA from 1 species